rnacentral:rRNA from 1 species
AUUGAACGCUGGCGGCAGGCUUAACACAUGCAAGUCGAGCGGGGUGAUGGUGCUUGCACUAUCACUUAGCGGCGGACGGGUGAGUAAUGCUUAGGAAUCUGCCUAUUAGUGGGGGGCAACAUCUCGAAAGGGAUGCUAAUACCGCAUACGUCCUACGGGAGAAAGCAGGGGAUCACUUGUGACCUUGCGCUAAUAGAUGAGCCUAAGUCGGAUUAGCUAGUUGGUGGGGUAAAGGCCUACCAAGGCGACGAUCUGUAGCGGGUCUGAGAGGACGAUCCGCCCCACUGGGACUGAGGCACUGCCCAGACUCCUACGGGAGGCAGCAGUGGGGAAUAUUGGACGAUGGGGGAAACCCUGAUCCAGCCAUGCCGCGUGUGUGAAGAAGGCCUUAUGGUUGUAAAGCACUUUAAGCGAGGAGGAGGCUCUUUUGGUUAAUACCCAAGAUGAGUGGACGUUACUCGCAGAAUAAGCACCGGCUAACUCUGUGCCAGCCGCCGCCGUAA